AUGGAUACAAUGGCUGUGGAAGGAAAGUUACUAGUGGAAAUCGAAAGGAUGUUUCAAUUGGUGGGAAUCUUACAGGAGCAGAGUUUGGCCAUGAACAAACAACUUGAGACUAUGACCUUGGGAACAGGCAACUCUGCUCUUUGUAUUGAGGACCUCAAUGAGAAAGAAUCCACAGCUGAUUGGGAAACAAUAUCUACAGAGCUGGAAGAGACUAAACAACAAGAAAAAGAAGAAGUAAUCCUGGGAAGUAACAACCAAAAGUUGACAUCUGUGGAAUACAAGCAAGGAGACGCUGGGAACAUAUUCACCACAAGUCUGCGAGAGAUACAGAAGAAGAAGGAGGAGGCCCCAAGACAAAAUGGAGUACAGGAAUUUAAAAUAAAGAAAUAUGAUUGGGGCCUCCGUUUGGACUUAGACUUGGAAGAGACUAAACAACAAGAAAAAGAAGAAGUAAUCCUGGGAAGUAAUAACCAAAAGUUGACAUCUGUGGAAUACAAGCAAGGAGACGCUGGGAACAUAUUCACCACAAGUCUGCGAGAGAUACAGAAGAAGAAGGAGGAGGCCCCAAGACAAAAUGGAGUACAGGAAUUUAAAAUAAAGAAAUAUGCUUGGGGCCUCCGUUUGGACUUGGACUUGGAAGAGAUAGACUUUGUGGAAAUACUUCAGCAGCCACCUUUGAAUCUUCUUGUUGGAGGAGGACAUACUUUGAUGGUGAAAGAACUCUUCCCAGAUCUGACGACUGCUGUAAAGGACUACCAACAGGACAGGCGGAGAGGAACGGAAAUAGAUUUGAAAGCCUCGGACGUGAGGAACCCAGGCUGAGAACUUCGAAUUUGGAUUUUUAUUGGGAAGGGACAAAAACCGGGGAAGGGAGGGAGGGAAGAAGAGACUCUUAAAAACUCUCAAGGCUUUUAGGUUCGGUUAAGAUGACUUUUAAUUAAGAUAAAAUGAAAAUCGAUGGAAGAGAACUUAAGUCCAACUUAUGAAAACUAAUUUUUAUUAUAAAAAAAAGGAAAUAAGAUGAAUAAGAUUGUUAAGAGGAGAAAUAUCAACUUGCUGACAUAAUCUUGAAAUUGGGAUGCAUUAGGGGGGGUGGGGGGAAGUCAGGGAACAAGGUUAUGAAAUGGGGAUUUGCUGAUUUUAUACAUGUUUUUGUCUUUGUUUUCUUUUGUGUAUGUUUUGUCUUUAUAAAAGCAGAAAACCAAAUAAAAAUUUUAUAAAAAAAAAAAAGAAAAGUACCAAAUCAAGAAUCAUGCAAGUGGGAUUACUGUGUGUGCCCACAACAGUUUUAUGUACAUACGGUUUUUAAAUGUUUCUGGGUUUGAUAUUAUUUAAGACAGUGAGAUCCAGCACUUAAGACUUUAGCUGUUGAUAUAUGUGUGUUAAUACACAUUAGACAUGCUGCCUUAAUC
rnacentral:lncRNA from 1 species